rnacentral:piRNA from 1 species
UGCCAUUGGUGCUCAUGUCCUGUGAUGCCCU